rnacentral:rRNA from 1 species
GAUGAACGCUGGCGGCGUGCCUAAUACAUGCAAGUCGAGCGAACAGACGAGGAGCUUGCUCCUCUGACGUUAGCGGCGGACGGGUGAGUAACACGUGGAUAACCUACCUAUAAGACUGGGAUAACUUCGGGAAACCGGAGCUAAUACCGGAUAAUAUAUUGAACCGCAUGGUUCAAUAGUAAAAGACGGUUUUGCUGUCACUUAUAGAUGGAUCCGCGCCGCAUUAGCUAGUUGGUAAGGUAACGGCUUACCAAGGCAACGAUGCGUAGCCGACCUGAGAGGGUGAUCGGCCACACUGGAACUGAGACACGGUCCAGACUCCUACGAGAGGCAGCAGUAGGGAAUCUUCCGCAAUGGGCGAAAGCCUGACGGAGCAACGCCGCGUGAGUGAUGAAGGUCUUCGGAUCGUAAAACUCUGUUAUUAGGGAAGAACAAAUGUGUAAGUAAUUAUGCACGUCUUGACGGUACCUAAUCAGAAAGCCACGGCUAACUACGUG